UCCUACGGGGGGCAGCAGUAGGGAAUUUUCGUCAAUGGGCGCAAGCCUGAACGAGCAAUGCCGCGUGAACGAGGAAGGUCUUCGGAUCGUAAAGUUCUGUUGAAGGGGAAAAAAAGCGGAGAGAGGAAAUGGUCUCCGAUUGAUAUUACCCUUCGAGGAAGUCACGGCUAACUACGUGCCAGCAGCCGCGGUAAUACGUAGGUGGCGAGCGUUAUCCGGAAUGAUUGGGCGUAAAGGGUGCGUAGGCGGCCUGCUAAGUCUGGAGUGAAAGGUACCGGCUCAACCGGUACAGGCUCUGGAAACUG
rnacentral:rRNA from 1 species